AUUAUUUUAACGAUGAUAUUAAAAGUUCUCCUCUAGAGAAGUAUCUCUCCCCCCCCUACAGAGGUGCUAAACAAGCAAUAUUUCCUCAUAUUUGUAAGCAAUUCCAGUGAAAGUUCUUUAAAAGAUGAUAUGUUGGCAUUCUGGCUCUAAAAUUGGACUGUGAUCUGCAUUGCUUUUUGUGUCUUAUUAUUUUGGAGAUGGGAAAUGGCUGAACUAUUUCUCCCAGGGCUGUGGGAAAUGAUUUGGUGUUGCUGUUAAAGCUAAUCAUUAUUCACAUAUAAACUGCCCCUUUUACUGUUUCUCAGAUCCAAUUUUCGAAGCAAAUAUUGAUGAUGACACCGAAAUAACUUGGCAAGGCUCUCCAGAAGCUCUGCAGAGCCAUUACAGGGAUAAAUUGCAGAACUGAGGGGCACUCGGUAACCAUGUCAAGGGAAUGUCAGGAGAUAAAGUUCAGUCGAGGAUUUCUCAGCCUUUCUCAAUCUUUCUAGGAAGUUUGUGCGUUGUUAUUGUAACCAAAUUCAUCCAGAAUGGGGAAGAAACUGGGAUGCUCCAGCUGUGGAAAUGGAAGGAAAAGGUUAUUAACCAUUUCAAAGGACAGAAUUUCUCAGUUGAGUUGAGGUAAAUGCUGCCCUGAAAAAGCCAAGCCCUGUAUUAACAGGAAGCCGUGGGAAGGCAGCGAGACUCCAAAUGGCCACGUGAAAACUUGGGAUCUCAGGAAAGCAAAGCAGUGCUGUGAGGCUGAGGGAGAGAAGAAUGGAUGCCAGGCAAAAAUACUGGAGGAAGAAGGAAAACUGGGCUCUUGCUGUAUUGACAAAAUGGAGCAAAUAAUUCACCCCUAAUAAGUAACACAAUCUCCUCUUGAGGACUAAAAAUACCCUGCUUUUAUUGGAAGUGUAUUAGUGGCCAUGGUAAGUCAUCAGGCUCUCCACACAAGUUGCCUGUCAGGGUAAAAUCUUGAAAACUGCACUGUAACCAGGAUGAUGAAGGAAAAUUACUGCCAGACAGAUUACACAGUCAAGAAAAACGGUGUAAGUUAUUUUUUUGCCUCCUAGCUUGCAUACAUAUGGGACAAAUGCAAAUUUGCCAAAUGAAAUACAGCUCAGAGUGCAUACAUUUCAAACAGAUAAUACUUUGUACUUAUUAAAGCUUGGCUUGGAUCACAGAGAGCUUUUCCCUGAAACGCCAGCUUUUUUUGUGGUUUUUUUUUUUUUUUUUUUUUUUGCAAAGAUUGUUUUUCCCUAAAGCAGCAUCAAUUAUAAACAAUGGUGUAGCCACCAAAACUGGGAGGACAAGACUCGAAGCAGAUGAACUGAAACAAUCUGAGUGAUAAAAACUUUAAUCUUGCCAUGCACUCCAGGUAUCCUUUGAGGGGAUGGGAGUUAUUGUUUAUUGGCAGAUAUAUAAAUACCUGCUCUGGAAGAGGCAAGACAUGUGCACAGAUCUACAACUGCACAUAUCUACAGGGUGGGCAUAAAAAGAGCUUCUCUGAAAAGUUAAACAUCACAAGGAGCCCUGUGUAACUCUGGGUCCUGAGCACCAGCUAAAGGUUUGUGUGGAUAAUGGGAUAACUGGUAUGAAAAGCUGUUUGAAGGCUCCUUGCACUCAGUUGAUUUAGAUUUAGCUGCUUAAAGCGUGGCACUAAAUCAGCAGGGAGAGUAUAUUGGUUCUUCCAGAGACAAAAUCGUGAAUAAAUAAUAAGUUAGAAUGAAAACAGAAGAGCCCGGACUCAAAGAUA